CGAAUACCGGAGAAUGUUAUCACGGGAGACACACGGCGGGUGCUAACGUCCGUCGUGAAGAGGGAAACAACCCAGACCGCCAGCUAAGGUCCCAAAGUCAUGGUUAAGUGGGAAACGAUGUGGGAAGGCCCAGACAGCCAGGAUGUUGGCUUAGAAGCAGCCAUCAUUUAAAGAAAGCGUAAUAGCUCACUGGUCGAGUCGGCCUGCGCGGAAGAUGUAACGGGGCUAAACCAUGCACCGAAGCUGCGGCAGCGACGCUUAUGCGUUGUUGGGUAGGGGAGCGUUCUGUAAGCCUGCGAAGGUGUGCUGUGAGGCAUGCUGGAGGUAUCAGAAGUGCGAAUGCUGACAUAAGUAACGAUAAAGCGGGUGAAAAGCCCGCUCGCCGGAAGACCAAGGGUUCCUGUCCAACGUUAAUCGGGGCAGGGUGAGUCGACCCCUAAGGCGAGGCCGAAAGGCGUAGUCGAUGGGAAACAGGUUAAUAUUCCUGUACUUGGUGUUACUGCGAAGGGGGGACGGAGAAGGCUAUGUUGGCCGGGCGACGGUUGUCCCGGUUUAAGCGGGUAGGCUGGUUUUCCAGGCAAAUCCGGAAAAUCAAGGCUGAGGCGUGAUGACGAGGCACUACGGUGCUGAAGCAACAAAUGCCCUGCUUCCAGGAAAAGCCUCUAAGCAUCAGGUAACAUCAAAUCGUACCCCAAACCGACACAGGUGGUCAGGUAGAGAAUACCAAGGCGCUUGAGAGAACUCGGGUGAAGGAACUAGGCAAAAUGGUGCCGUAACUUCGGGAGAAGGCACGCUGAUAUGUAGGUGAAGUCCCUCGCGGAUGGAGCUGAAAUCAGUCGAAGAUACCAGCUGGCUGCAACUGUUUAUUAAAAACACAGCACUGUGCAAACACGAAAGUGGACGUAUACGGUGUGACGCCUGCCCGGUGCCGGAAGGUUAAUUGAUGGGGUCAGCGCAAGCGAAGCUCUUGAUCGAAGCCCCGGUAAACGGCGGCCGUAACUAUAACGGUCCUAAGGUAGCGAAAUUCCUUGUCGGGUAAGUUCCGACCUGCACGAAUGGCGUAAUGAUGGCCAGGCUGUCUCCACCCGAGACUCAGUGAAAUUGAACUCGCUGUGAAGAUGCAGUGUACCCGCGGCAAGACGGAAAGACCCCGUGAACCUUUACUAUAGCUUGACACUGAACAUUGAGCCUUGAUGUGUAGGAUAGGUGGGAGGCUUUGAAGUGUGG
rnacentral:rRNA from 1 species